AAGUAUUCUCUUUCUCUAUAUAUUCUCUUUGGGCAUGACAUAAGAAGAUUGACAAACGCUGUCACUGCUUUUGGGGGCGCAAUGAAAACGAAACGUUGCGCUCCCAAAGCAAAAUAAAAAAUAUAAAAUAAACAAGAAAAACUAAAAAAAAAAUGCCGUGUUGUAUAUUUUGGAAUCCAUUUGCUUGUAGACAAUGUAAACGAAGAAACGAACAUGAACCUUGUUGGUCUCGUUGUAAGAGAAAGCCCGAUAAGAAUAGAAUGCGUUGCAGUAAAUUGGAUGUGACUAUCUUUGGUUUGCUGCUAUUUUGCCCAAUAUUGGUGGCAUGGCCGUGUUUAUGGCCGUGUCUUUGUCCGUGGUUGAAAAAGAUGAAGAAGACGACUUAUCAUAGAUGCAUGUAGAUGCAUUUCCUGUACUUUAGUGAUGCAGACGUCUGCGAGAUGGAGAGAAUAAAACGUCUGCGAGAAUAUAGACGUCUGCGAUAAUACCUAUAGAAGUCCAACGAUGUUACACACUAAAGAAGUAAAAUGUUGUCUGCAAUUAUUCAAGAACACAGACGUAAAAGUACAAUGUCCACGUUUUAUACAUCUGUCAUACUUAUGUGAAGAUUGAAUGUGUAUGUUAACUUGUUGACAAAACGGUACUAAAACUAAUAAAAGUUGGUGCCACAUAUUGCUUCUCAACUGUGUACCGUGGCCGCGCCCGCGGGUAUCUCCCACUCCGGUAACCGCGUUCGGUGGUAAUGUGAGGACCUAUCAAUAGAAAUAACUGUACCUAGCUAACAUGUUACUAUCUCUUUCACUCUUGUGACGACCAUGCAAGUGUGAAUGAGAAGUUUUACGACCCAAUUUCAGUUUGAUUCGCGGAUAGUAUAGUCCUUGGUUGUGUUUUUAUUUUUUAGCCUUUUGAACGCAUUCUCUCUCGCAUUGAAAUGUGGCAUACACGCACAUUUCAACUAGUGAGAAAGGAAUUUAAACCUUAUCUGUCAACAGUAAUAUUGCUUUGACAGCGUCUGCCAUGAUAUGCCCUUUUAGUGGUCGUUGGCGUGGCAGGCACGACAGCCACACGACCACUUUAGUGGCUCUUGGCGUUCAAAGGGUUAAACAAAAGGAAAUUUGCAAAUGAAUAUGUUAGAGUGAUAUCAUGUUUCCUGCACUUUUUAUCUUGGUCUGACUCUAUCAUACACACUGUGUAUGAUAAGAAAUCAAUAAAUAUAGAAUGGAGUAAAAUAAGCUGCAGCAACUGGAAGCUCACCCUGCUCCGUACAAGUUCACACAGAGAUCAUAACAUAACGAUAGCUGCUGAGGGAACUGUUACCAGUGCAGUGCGACAUCGAUAUAUCGUAUCAUAACUAAUAUCAAAUAUAUACACGGUGCUCACGAGGAACCCGAAAGAUUUUAACCACGUACUUCUGAGGCCAAAAGACGGAAAAAAUGUUAUAUGAGUUUCACUAAAUUUGGCCAAAAAAAUAUAUUUUUUUGUUUUUUUUUUUUCAAAUUUUGAACGUAUUUGUACAUAAAAAGUUAAUGUUAUGGUAAAACUGGCACUGAAAAUAUUUUUUUACGAUUUUUUUUGUAAAAACUAGUUCUUGCAAAGGUUACUUGUCACUUUUUGACAUCUAUCAAUAAGGAUAUUUAGACUACGCCCCAUAAUGGCAUUAUCGCGAUCAAAAAGGCGUUUUGAACUAAGUUACGAUAACAUGUUUUUUUUUACAUUGGUAUUAACUCUGAAACUAGGCGAAAUCCAGAAAAGUUUAUAUGACAUUUUAGUCUCUAAAUGUGAUCAGUAAUACACUGUCAAAAUCUUUUGGGUUCCUAGUGAGCACCGUGUAUAUAACUCCGUAUAAGAUAACUAAAAUGUAAGAAGGGAAGGAGGCACGAUUUCUUAGGGUCUACAAACUCUUUCCUAGGAAACGAGCGAGGAAUCCAAAGAAAGUUAGAAAAUCCCUUUCCACGCAAUAGUUAUUUGUGUCCCAUGGGAGGAAAAGUAGGAAAUUGCGUGCCGCGUGUAAAAUUGUUACCCUAGCCGAAGGCGAGGGUGACAAACACGCGGGAUGGAAUGUCCUGCGUUUCCUCCUGAGGUGCGCAUACUAUUUU